GAAAUGCGAUAAGUAAUGUGAAUUGCAGAAUUCAGUGAAUCAUCGAAUCUUUGAACGCACCUUGCGCCACGUGGUAUUCCACGGGGCACGCCUGUUUGAGUGUCACGUUAACCAUCGCGUCGCGAAUGUAACAGUUUGCGGGGCGGAUUUGGGUGUUGCCGUAGUUGGCUCGCCUCGAAAUGCAUUAGCUGUCCAAGGACCGCGCCGUUGGUGUGAUAAUUACUUUGCGCCGCUGGUGUUGGACUGGGUGAUGGCUCAUAAACCGUCCGCGAGGACAAAUACCUUUAAUGCCUUGGCCUCAAAUCAGGUGGGACUACCCGCUGAACUUAA
rnacentral:misc_RNA from 1 species